rnacentral:rRNA from 1 species
UCCGCUUUUGUUUUGAUCCCCCCACCUUAACUUGUUAAGGUGAUUAAUUCCUAUGAACCAUUGUACUAGUCAUAGUAUCCAAAUCCAAUUUUGGAUUUUGGUAUUUCAAAACGAAAUUCCAAACUCUCAACGAUGGAUGCCUCGGCUCGAGAAUCGAUGAAGGACGCAGCGAAGUGCGAUAAGCACUGCGAUUUGCAGAAUUCCGUGAACCAGUAGAAAUCUCAACGCAUACUGCACAAAGGGGAUCUUUCCUCUUUGUACAUACAUAUCAGUGUCGCUCUUCUUCCCGAUACAAACAUUUUGUUGUUAACGCAACUCAAUGCUUUGUAUCCCGCUUGAACUAACUCUUCGGAGGUGGUUCGUUAUGUGCGCUUGUGAAGGCAGGCGUAUUAAUUUGCAAGGCUAUAAUCUCGUAUUGUAGCCCCUCCGAAAGGAGGCUUGCGCCUGUGAGUAUCUCUMGAGGUACUCGCAAACUCGACUGUGUUGUGGUGAUAUCACGUGUUCCUUGAUCACGCGAUUCUUCUCUUCAACGCAUUACGUCAAAUCUAUUGAUAAAUGCAGAGAAGUGUUUGAAUCACGCGUUCAGUCUGGUCGCGAGAUUAUUAUAUAUCAUAACACGCUUGUCGGUUU